AAGACUUCGGGGGUGACCAUUAGAGGGGCAAAACUAAAUAGUUGGACAAAUCGGGCUGCAUAUUGGGCAACCUCGUGGAGGUCCUAAAAUUCCUCCUCUUUCUUCUCUCAGACAUAGCCUUGGAAAAAGUUAUCAAAGAAUGUGUCCAUAAAAACUUUCCAAGUGGUAGGGGUAGAUAGGACUUCCUUUUUGAGUCACCACUAGUGUUCUGCUUCACCGGUCAACAUAAUGACCUCUAGGGGGACUUUCCUUGAUUGGGUCGAAG
rnacentral:lncRNA from 1 species